GACGAACGCUGGCGGCGUGCUUAACACAUGCAAGUCGAACGGAAAGGCCCUGCUUGCGGGGUACUCGAGUGGCGAACGGGUGAGUAACACGUGGGUGAUCUGCCCUGCACUUCGGGAUAAGCUUGGGAAACUGGGUCUAAUACCGGAUAGGAGCCAUCUUUAGUGUGGUGGUUGGAAAGUUUUUUCGGUGUAGGGUGAGCUCGCGGCCUAUCAGCUUGUUGGUGGGGUAAUGGCCUACCAAGGCGGCGACGGGUAGCCGGCCUGAGAGGGUGUACGGCCACAUUGGGACUGAGAUACGGCCCAGACUCCUACGGGAGGCAGCAGUGGGGAAUAUUGCACAAUGGGCGCAAGCCUGAUGCAGCGACGCCGCGUGGGGGAUGAAGGCCUUCGGGUUGUAAACUCCUUUCGCUAGGGACGAAGCUUUUUUGUGACGGUACCUAGAUAAGAAGCACCGGCUAACUACGUG
rnacentral:rRNA from 1 species